rnacentral:rRNA from 1 species
GAGAAACAAAACGGUCUCGUGGAGAGCGUGCUGGGGGGAGCCGUUUGGGGGGAGCGCAUGUACUGCGGGCCAGCCAGCGCUUAGUUGCGCGGCGCCUGUGGGUGCUUCACCGGGAGCCCUCUGCUACAAGGCACAUCUUCAUGCAGAACAUACACACAGUGGAGACACGUAUGCACGUUUUUCUGGGUGCAUUGGUGCUUUGGGCUGGCGACAGCCCANAGUGCGGCACGCAAAACACAAACAAAAAUGCAGUGAUGAGACGCAGUCAAAGAAACACACGAGUCUGGUUGGCAGACGAGUGGAUAAACAAAUCUUCA